UCCGUAGGCGGGCGACUGAGUCAGAGGUGAAAUCCCACAGCUUAACUGUGGAACUGCCUUUGAUACUGGUUGUCUUGAGUUAUAGUGAAGUAGAUAGAAUAUGUAGUGUAGCGGUGAAAUGCUUAGAUAUUACAUAGAAUACCGAUUGCGAAGGCAGUCUACUAACUAUAUACUGACGCUAAUGGACGAAAGCGUGGGGAGCGAACAGGAUUAGAUACCCUGGUAGUCC
rnacentral:rRNA from 1 species